UACAGAGGUCUCAAGCGUUGUUCGGAUUCAUUGGGCGUAAAGGGUGCGUAGGCGGCGCGGUAAGUCGGGUGUGAAAUCUCGGGGCUUAACUCCGAAACUGCAUUCGAUACUGCCGUGCUUGAGGACUGGAGAGGAGACUGGAAUUUACGGUGUAGCGGUGAAAUGCGUAGAGAUGCGGAGGAACACCGAUGGCGAAGGCAGCCCCCUGGGCUAACACGGACGCUCAGGCACGAAAGCGUGGGGAGCAAACAGG
rnacentral:rRNA from 1 species